rnacentral:lncRNA from 1 species
UGACAACGCAUCAGAGCGCGGUCCCUCCAAUCGCUACCCAAUUCACUUACCGCUUGCUUACGGGUUUAGUCACCAUCAGGAGGGUACCCUCUGGCUAUUUAACAACUACCCAAAGAAACUCAUAAGCUCGUCCGGAUCCAACCACAAGGCACCGACCACGGCACGAAACCACGGUCGACACUCGGGUCUCUGUUCGGCGCCGAGAAUGGAUCGACGCUGGAGCUCCGAAGACCACUCGGACUACUUUUCAUAAAUGUCAAAAGUUGGACAUAUCUCGACAUCCGGCCACCGACGAAGCGGAUGAUUAGUCCGCACCGGAGGUACUCAGAUGUCUACUGACACGCGUGUGAUAACAGAGGUAAGUAGGCCACCCGAGAACAUCUCACGCUGUGACCCGACGGUCGGAACGCGAGAAGACCCCCGAAGGACCACGCGGAGGGGCGAGCCCGUAAUCUCGAUUUCUUACCGGAUACAAUCUCGUUGGGGUAGUACCGACAGUCGUCCGCCCAACGAUAAUUUGUACAUAUUUGCUUCACGACGCGAAGAAAUCCGCGUCGCUAAUAAUAUCUAGCGUCAUGAAAAGGCCUGUACUAUCUAAAAAGACCGAGAGGUAAAGCAGUCCUCUCAGCCCCUCUAGGGAACCACCGAGAACCGGCCAAAAAAUUAAUCCUAGACGGUUCCCCUGGCUGUGAUUUCGCUAGAUAAGAUAUUUUGUAUCAGUAGGUAGUCAUUCGGUCUAAUUCGUUCACGAGUAUGAUGAACGUUUCAUAUGAAUUGAACCGAAUCCUUCAAAUGACCCCUUUUGCCCAUCUUCAAUGACAAUUGAAUCCAAUGAUAAAGUGAUACCUACUGUUCAAUAAAAAUGUUUCUAUCUGAUAAAAAAGCCCAGAAUAACUUAUGAUUUUUCAAUUAUUUGUAUUCACUAAAACUAAUUCGUUGUACCAAGUUAUUAAUAUACUGAUUAUUUAUAUUUAUUAAUUAUUAUUGAGCUGGAAUUUUGAACGGGAUCAACCAAACUAAAAUUCAAGCCUACUGUAAUUUACUGUUCUUUUAAUUUCAUUAAGUUGUUCACUACAGUCGACAGCGCAAUUUCCGUGGUUCUCGUACGAAAAUAAAGCUGCAAGUCACAAACUGGUCGGCGAUCGUGAUAUUUAUAGUUCCAUAGUAAGUAUUCACACUUGAAAAAACAAUUUUACGUGUAGGCAUAUUUCGAAUUUACAUAAAGAUUAUAAUAUUAGUUAAAGGGCCUUUUUUUUUUAACUGCCUGUGAUCCUUUCACGAUCUACAGUUCUUAGUCUCUACUCUAUACUAUAAUUAUAUUCUACUAUCUACUAAUAAAUUAUGGUGUAUUCAAAGUAUGUCUAUUGUGGAUUAUCUUCAAAAAAUAAUGCAGAUGUGUCAUUUCAUUGCAUGAAUAAUAACAUAUUAUACAUAUAAUAUAUUACAAUUAUAUAAUGCAUAUCAUAGUAUCGUGACCUCACGUGCCUAAAGGUACGUUUUCCUUUGCACGAUUGCGUGCCCCGAUCGCGCGACUGCUGAUACAAUGUAAAUUAAAUACAUUUGGUUUUCCUUACGCGAUCGCGGUCGGCGAUGUAAAUUUGUUCGCUACGUGAACGCAAACUGACUGCUUCUUGAGAAGUCAAAUAGCGUUCACACCGCGAUCGACUAGUUGUUUUGAAAAUUAAUAAUAUGUAAUUAUAAACGGAAAUUUAAAUUUAAAUCUAGUUAU